CGAGAACAAGCAGAAGUUAAGCUGCUCAGAACAGAACGAUAGAAAAGGAGAGAUAAACUUGAUAAGUUAGCUGAAUAAUUGAGAGAGAGAGAUAAGAAUCUGCCGAUUGUGUUUACAUUUUGACAGUGCGUUGCUCCGGUGGUAAACGAGUCAGGUGGUGUUCGAUACUCCGACUGGUUUUUGUGACUGGAUUAGACGCCUGUAAAAUUUCUACUGAACGCAAUGGCGAGCCAGACCCAUUGAGGACUACCAUAGAUGGAUGUUUGAAUCAGUGUGGCCAGCUGUUUCAACCUCUAUUCUGAAGACUCCACUUCGUUGAUUUCAAAGGAUUCACAGAUAAGGGACGAUGACAAUAACACACAUUUAUCCUACCCGGGUAGAGAGACAGAAAACACGCUAACAAAUAGUGACCCAAGGAAGGACCUGAACAUCACAAACUAAAUAAAUCUCUAAGGACAUUGUGCAUUUCCUUUUGCUGCUGUGUUUCUAUCCAAAGAGACGCUAUUUUAUUUUGUUGUUUUUCUAAUUGUUUAUAUGGCACAGUAUUAAUAUUUGUUGUUAGUCUUGUUAUACUGCAAUAAAUCUGCCGGCUGUUGUCUAUUGCAAAUAUA